rnacentral:tRNA from 15 species
GGGAUUGUAGUUCAAUUGGUCAGAGCGCCGCCCUGUCAAGGCGGAAGCUGCGGGUUCGAGCCCCGUCAGUCCCG